UACGAAGGGGGCUAGCGUUGUUCGGAUUUACUGGGCGUAAAGCGCACGUAGGCGGAUCUUUAAGUCAGAGGUGAAAUCCCAAGGCUCAACCUUGGAACUGCCUUUGAUACUGGGGAUCUUGAGUCCGGGAGAGGUGAGUGGAACUGCGAGUGUAGAGGUGAAAUUCGUAGAUAUUCGCAAGAACACCAGUGGCGAAGGCGGCUCACUGGCCCGGUACUGACGCUGAGGUGCGAAAGCCAGGGGAGCAAACGGGG
rnacentral:rRNA from 1 species